UGUUUAAUUUCACGGGACUGG
rnacentral:siRNA from 1 species